rnacentral:rRNA from 1 species
CCUACGGGCGGCUGCAGUGGGGAAUAUUGCGCAAUGGGCGAAAGCCUGACGCAGCGACGCCGCGUGAGUGAUGGAGGUCUUCGGAUCGUAAACCUCUGUCAGCAGGGAAGAACCGUCACUGUGCUAAUCAGCAGUGCAUUGACGGUACCUGCAAAGGAAGCACCGGCUAACUCAGUGCCAGCAGCCGCGGUAAUACGGAGGGUGCGAGCGUUAAUCGGAAUUACUGGGCGUAAAGCGCUCGUAGGCGGUAUUGCAAGUCAAGGGUGAAAGCCCCGCGCUCAACGUGGGAACUGCCUUUGAAACUGGCAAACUGGAGUGUGUGAGAGGAUAGUGGAAUUCCAGGUGUAGGAGUGAAAUCCGUAGAUAUCAGGAGGAACAUCAGUGGCGAAGGCGACUAUCUGGCACAUAACUGACGCUGAGGAGCGAAAGCGUGGGUAGCAAACAGGAUUAGAUACCCGUGUAGUC